UUCAGAAACUUGUUUCAAGUCAAGUCAGCUUUAUUGUCAGAUGUGCUAUACAUGCAUGACAUACGGCACAAAUGAAAUUUCAGUCCUCUCAGACCCACGGUGCAAAAUG